GUUUCCGUAGUGUAGAGGUUAUCACGUGUGCUUCACACGCACAAGGUCCCCGGUUCGAACCCGGGCGGAAACA
rnacentral:tRNA from 1 species